GGAUCAAUAUGUCGGUCGUGCUUCGGUACGUACUGGUAUCAUUGGUUUCACCUUUUUGACGAACCAUGAUGUCAUUAAUUUGGUGGUAUGGGGAGUUAGGACUGUUACUUUGAAAAAAUUAGAGUGUUUAAAGCAGGCUCACGCUUGAAUACAUUAGCAUGGAAUAAUGAAAUAGGACGUUUGAUUCUAUUUUGUCGGUUUCUAGGAUUGACGUA
rnacentral:rRNA from 1 species